rnacentral:rRNA from 1 species
AUUGAACGCUGGCGGCAUGCCUUACACAUGCAAGUCGAACGGUAACAGGUCUUCGGAUGCUGACGAGUGGCGAACGGGUGAGUAAUAUAUCGGAACGUGCCCAGUCGUGGGGGAUAACGCAGCGAAAGCUGUGCUAAUACCGCAUACGAUCUAUGGAUGAAAGCGGGGGAUCGCAAGACCUCGCGCGAUUGGAGCGGCCGAUAUCAGAUUAGGUAGUUGGUGGGGUAAAGGCCCACCAAGCCAACGAUCUGUAGCUGGUCUGAGAGGACGACCAGCCACACUGGAACUGAGACACGGUCCAGACUCCUACGGGAGGCAGCAGUAGGGAAUAUUGGACAAUGGGCGCAAGCCUGAUCCAGCCAUGCCGCGUGAGUGAAGAAGGCCCUCGGGUUGUAAAGCUCUUUUGUCCGGAAAGAAAAGCGCCGGGUUAAUACCCUGGUGUCCUGACGGUACCGGAAGAAUAAGCACCGGCUAACUUCGUGCCAGCAGCCG